GAUGAAGAACGCAGCGAAAUGCGAUACGUAAUGUGAAUUGCAGAAUUCAGUGAAUCAUCGAGUCUUUGAACGCACAUUGCGCCCCCUGGUAUUCCGCAGGGCAUGCCUGUUCGAGCGUCAUUUCAACCCUCAAGCUCUGCUUGGUGUUGGGCCCUGCCCGCUGCGGCCGGCCCUAAAGACAGUGGCGGUGCCGCCUGGCCCUGAGCGUAGUACAUCUCUCGCUCCAGUGCCCGGUGGUAGCCUGCCAGAACCCCAACUCUCGUGGUUGACCUCGGAUCAGGUAGGGAUACCCGCUGAACUUAAGCAUAUCAAUAAGCGGAGGA
rnacentral:misc_RNA from 1 species